UGACCUCUAGUUACUACUACUUGCUAGUACAAACUUAAGUGUCUUUGUUUUUUUCUGGAAAAAGACAAAAUAGUGAAAAACUUAUUCCUUAUAGCUAUAGAGCCUGUUUGGUUCAGCUUUUCACCACCAAGAAGUGAUUCUACAACCCUUAAAAGUGAAAAGCUGAAUUUUCAAUGGUGUUUGGUUUGACUUUUAAGAAUUGCUUCUAUCCUCCAAAAGCAAUUAUCCGUGAAGCUACAAAUCCUAGCUUUUGGCUUUUGUAGAAUCAAUUCUACAUUAAACUAUUAUCAAUUCCAUAAUUACCCUCUUAAUUAUCAUCAAUUUUUAUCACCCUUUCUCCAACCAUAUUUGCUUUUUUCUACCUGGAACCUUAAAUUCAUUCACUCCACACUGUCCACUUUUCUCUAGUUAGAACUCAACCACCCUUCACAAAUUUAAUCUAAAAAUUUAUUGCUAUUAGGUUAUAUAACAACACCACCUCCUGCUAGCAAAUAUUGUGCUCAAGAGAACAACAAAAAGGAUAAAUUCUGCUCAAAAGAUAACAACAACAACAAGCAUUAUGGCUAAACAAAAGAAAGUUUUUGCGGAUUGGUCGGAUCUUAAAGUGGAUGAACUUUUGGGGUAUGGAAGAACAGAUUUGCAAUCCUACGUCGCAUGCCUAACUUUAAAUUUGAGACACAAGUUCAAAUAGUUGUCGCAACAAUGGCUAUACACAACUUUAUCCGAAGGAAGGCAGAAAUUGAUAUUGAUUUUAAUGUUUAUGAAGAUGAAAGCACGAUCAUUCACCAUGAUGAUAGCUCAUCUAACUUGGAUCAAUCCCAUGUUUUAAAUGUAGUUUCGUCGUCAGAGAUGGAUCGCGUUCGAAACAUAAUCCGCAAUGAAAUUAUUGAGCACAGGCAAAAUAAUUAGUAUUGUUCUUUAAAUUAUUAUAUCAAUAUUUUAGUACUAUAAUACACUUUAAAUUAGUUUUGUAAUAAUAUUAGUACUUUGUUGCAAUUUAAAUUCUAUUAUCUAUUUGUAA